rnacentral:misc_RNA from 1 species
GUCAUUAUCGACCAUCAAGCACCGCUUGGCAUUGAACGUCACCCGCCUCGCGGCGGGAGCGCUCUAAAACGGUCGGCUGUGGGUUGCGAACCGCUAGCGUAAGUAAUGCUUCCCGCUCAGACGCGUUCCGACCCGCAGGCCCCUAGAACCCAUCACUUAAGGUUGACCUCGGAUCAGGUAGGGAUACCCGCUGAACUUAA